rnacentral:misc_RNA from 1 species
GAUGAAGAACGUAGCGAAAUGCGAUAAGUAAUGUGAAUUGCAGAAUUCAGUGAAUCAUCGAAUCUUUGAACGCACCUUGCACCCUUUGGACUGCUCCAAAGGGUAUGCUCGUUUGAGUGUCAUUGUACUCUCACACUCUCUGAUCCUUUGGAUUUGGGGAGCAGUGGACUUGGGUGCUUGCUGCUUCCUUGUGGCUCACCUGAAAUGCAUCAGUGCAUCUCUCGAUUGGACAUAGCACGGCGUGAUAAGUGUCUUCGCCGGCACCUCAUAUGAGGGUGGCCGAUCGGGAGCUCUGUGCUUUCAAACCGUCUUCGGACAACGCUGACAACUUGACCUCAAAUCGAGUAGGACUACCCGCUGAACUUAAGCAUAUCAAUAAGCGGAGGA